AUUUUUGAAAAAACAAUUUAAUCUCCCCAAGCAAAACACUAACCCCAGCUUUGACAAAUGUUUUAUCGUAGAUAUAUCCUAGUUCAUUCUCCAUUACUUACCCUUGCUACAGUCAUUAAAUGUCUGGCUAUAUAGGAUUAUUAAAUUUUAUCAAGGUCUUCAACUCCUGUUAAGAAAAUAUUGAUUGGUUGGAAGUUCCCAUGUAGUGCAGCGGGUUAAAGAUCUAGUGUUGCCAUAGCAGUGACACAGGUUGCAACUGUGGUGCAGUUUCAGUCCCUGGCGCGGGAACUUCCACAUGCCAGUCAGCAAAUGUCUGGGCCGCAAAGGGCCGCAAAAGCAUUCUGAACACAGUGUGCCUGAACACAGAAUGCCUGGCCUGCGUGGGCUGCCCCCAUGGGCCUGAGCACCCUGCUGUCUGCACCCAUUCCUCUCAGUAGAGAUGUUUGGGCAUUGCUGCCUCCCCACACACUUGAGAAAGAUGUCUAAUGCUAAGGGGCAGAGUCUAACAGAGGACAUUAAUGGUCGUUAACCUUGUUGUGUACAGCGUGCCUUGGAUCUUAUUUUCUUGGCUAGGGUAUGGAUAAAAGGAUAGUUCCGCUGGCGAGUAAGAAGAAUGAAUGGUUUCGCAUUCUCUCCAUGUCCUAGCCCACUCCAUUACGGUCACAGUGGCAAUAUGGAGCAUUAAGCCUCUAAAAGUGCAGAAAUUACUCUGCUUUACUAGUACAGUGCUGCGUAAAUAUUGGUAACCAUAACAAUAAAUGCUUGGCCAAACCCAGUUCUAGAACAUCAUUUAGCAUCAUUCUUAAAGGAGUGCCCCAGUGGUUUAGCAGUUGUUGAAAUGCAUUUCUGUGUAACAAAUGAAAGACAAAACAAGAUCAAAAUAAAACAUAAAACCUACUCUUUUAGCCUAGACAAAGUGACUAUGAUUUUAUUGUUUUAUUAUUUUUUUAAAGCGACUAUAAUUUUAGAACUGCAGAUUGCUGUACAGGGUUUGAGUGCCUGAAUUGAGUAUAUUUAUAGAAUUGGCUCAUUGGACAAAAUAUUUAAAAAUGAAAUUAUCUGGAAAGUUCCAGGGAUGUGAUUGAUGUAUAUGUAGUUGAAAACUUCUAUUUUCUAUGUAUUGUAGUGUUUAAUUAAACAGAAUGAUGUGAUUUUGAUCUGGCAUUUGAUACUGUAAAUGUAAGUUUGAGGGAGUUCCCCUUGUGGCUCAGUGGUACCGAACCCAACUAGUACAUCCAUGAGGACUCGGGUUCGAUCCUUGGCCUCACUCAGGGAAUUAAAGGAUCUGGCGUUGCCGUGAACUGUGGUGUAGGUUGCAGAUUUGGCUCAGAUCCAGCGUUGCUGUGGCUGCAACAUAGUCCAGCGGCUACAUGUCAGACUCAACCCCUAGCCUGGGAGCUUCCAUAUGCUGCAGAUGCAGCCCUAAAAAGAUUUAGGAAAAAAAAAAGUAAAUUUCGAAUUUGUUGGUUUAUUUUUGGUGUUCUUUUAAUCAUGAAAAUUAAUGCUUAAAGCACCUAUCAACUUAAAACAAUUUUUUUUUUCAAACAGGCAAUUGACUAGACUGGACAAUUGUAUGCUAAAGUAAUUAAUAUCUUUGAUCAUCUCUUUAUGGGUUUUACCAGUCAUUCAGCUUGGAGCCAAAUAUAUUUCAUUAUGGUUUUUGUAUGUGAAUUGACAUAAAAUAUCACCUUUAAUGUUUUACUAGCUUCACCACGUUAGGCUGAAGGUUUUUUGUUUUUUUUUUUUACUAUAUCAAAAACUUUUGUGAUUUAUUUAAAUCCGUAUCUGCUUGCUUUUGAAUUAUUGCUAAGGCUAGUGGGAAGUAUUUUAAAUGUAAAAGUGUGGGGUUUUUUUCCCACAGUGUUCUUUUGAGUCGUUGAUAGAUGUGAAAAACAUUUAGCAGGUUUCCUUCCUUUCCACCCUUUAUUAAGCUGUGCUUCGGAAGAAAUAUUCCUAGCAGACAUGCUGCAAUAUGUCAGAAACACUGCCGUAUUACAGAUGCAACAUCAUCUAAAAGGAAAAAUUGAGUGUGGGUUUGAAGUUGACAAGUGAUGAAAGUAGCCCUGAAGUUGUCAAUUAGGACGUGAAUGCCUGGAACCAAUAACUUAAUGGGCGGUGCCCCCUGCUAUUUUGUCUUCGGGACUGUAGGAUCGCUCCUGCUCUGGGGUAGGCAUGCCUGCAGCCAGACCUGGGCAUGUAGACAUAAACACACAUGUACGUGUAGGAGUAUGUGGUGGGUGAUGCAGAUCCAGACUACUCCUGCUAAUCUGUUUCCUAAAAAUGUUCCUUUUAUGGGAGACCUAACAAAAAGAAUAAGUGGCUAGUUUUAUUCGUAUCACAUUUAUCAUCUUUCUAACAGGAUUUUCAUGGAUUGGCUUUAUAAGCCAUAUUGCCAAACAACAAAUACGUAAUUUUUUUCCAUGGAGUUUUUUGGGAAAAUUCUUGCCUUCCAUCCUGCUGGGAGUUUUUUCUCAGAUCACCAGUGUAAGCCAGUCACCAUACAUUGUUUUCAGUUGAUACAACCCCAGUUGACAUGAUAUACUUUUUUGCUGAUUUUAAAAUAUGAGUAAUCAGCCGUUUAUAACCUAUAGGUUAAAAGGAGCUGUUAAUGGAUAAAGGUGGGAACCCAAAUGAACUAAAGCUCUUUAGAUUGUGGUAUUGACACUCUGUGCAUCUUUCCAUUAUUUAUUAUAACUGCUCCAGGAGUUCCCGUCGUGGCGCAGUGGUUAACGAAUCCGACUAGAAACCAUGAGGUUGCGGGUUCGGUCCCUGCCCUUGCUCAGUGGGUUAACGAUCCGGCAUUGCCGUGAGCUGUGGUGUAGGUUGCAGACGCGGCUCGGAUCCCACGUUGCUAUGGCUCUGGCGUAGGCCGGAGACUACAGCUCCGAUUGGACCCCUAGCCUGGGAACCUCCAUAUGCCACGGGAGCAGCCCAAGAAAUAGCAAAAAAACAAAAAAAAAAACAAAAACAAAAACAAAAAAACAAAACUGCUCCAAAUCACUUCAUUUAUUUACAAAGUCCUACAGCAGAAGAGAACACAGAAGUAAAAAGUACAAGGUGAAUUCAGUGGAGUCAGGUGUUUCUGGGACUGGUGCACUUCCUUUUUUGAAUUAAUUAAGUCAAAUUAAACCUUUUAAAAUUAAAUUUCUUAGUAAUGCUCUCCAAUCUUUUGAAUGGAAUUUUGAAAUAAAAUGUGAGAGAAUGCAGCAAAUGCAUACCUGUGAUGAUGAGAACCCAUAGGACUUGUCUCAAGGAGGACCGCCUCCCAAGGAACACCUAUAAGGGUCCCAGGUUCUCAGACACAGUGCAAGAUGGUCCUGAGAGAUUGUUAAGAAUCCUCAGGUUUGGCUGGAAAACCUACACUUGUUGGGAAGGGGUGGGGGCCUCAGCCCUGGACACUAACCCUUCAGGACCAGAGCUCUGGCUAAGGUGCACCUCCUGUGAAGAUAGCCGUGGUCACUGGGACUAUACAGUCACUGUCAGCCUGACCAGCGUGGGACAGCUGGCAGUGAUCAUUGGGAAGUGGCUUGAAUUCACCGACGGGGUGAAAACCAGGGGACUGGCUCCUUUCGAAUCUGCUAAGAGCAGGUGCUCUCUGGGCAUGGCCUUCUUGAGGCUCAGGGCGUUCCUCUCAGGUACUUAUUUGGUCCUGGCAUCACCAGUCCUUCCUUCACCCAGAAUCUUUUGGCUUUUCUCUGGAGAGAAAAUGCAGCAGGGCUCUAUCCCAGGGCUCGAGGGCCUGGAGCACUGUGCUGCUCUCCACUUCCUGAGGCAGCUCCUGGUGGAUGAUAAAGACUAGUUCCCUUUACCAGCCACAGUUUGUGCCUUGCUCUGGUGGCAAAAAGCCCAAGUGUUGAUUAAGUGGUAUCCAAGUAUUCUGCAUAACCAGGGGUUUUUGGUUUGGUUUUGUUUUUUAAGCUUAUCUAUCUGCAGGGUUUACCUCUGCAGUAUUUGCAGUCUCUGUCUUUGUUACCCGGUAUCCAUAGUUAUCUGUAUCCUCAGGUUUUCUGCUAACACCCACGGCUUCAACAGGGGAGAAAAGGAGGUGAGAGUUGCUUGAACAGGUGGGAGCCUGAACCAAGGCACACAUGCAUUUCUGAUGCAUUUUCAGGAAGUUGUCUGAUUUUCAUCUUUUUGCUCAUAAUCACAUCAAGAUUUAGCCAUGCAGUAAAAGUUGUGGGAAGGCACAUCAGCAGCCACCACUUGUUACACUUUUGCUCCUCAGUUUGGGUCCCUGAGGUCAGGGAUGCGUUGUUUUAGACCAAGGUCCCAACCAUAGUGACCCAGUAUAUUUAAUGGAUCAUGAUGAGCGUUUGAAAAAAAUGAACUAGAAUAGGGAGUUCCCGUCGUGGCGCAGUGGUUAACGAAUCCGACUAGGAACCAUGAGGUUGCUGGUUCGGUCCCUGCCCUUGCUCAGUGGGUUGAAGAUCCGGCGUUGCCGUGAGCUGUGGUGUAGGUUGCAGAUGUGGCUUGGAUCCCGCGUUGCUGUGGCUCUGGCGUAGGCCGGAGGCUACAGCUCCGAUUCAACCCCUAGCCUGGGAACCUCCAUAUGCCUCGAGAGCGGCCCAAGAAAAUGGCAAAAAGACAAAAAAAAAAAAAAAAAGAACUAGAAUAAAAUAGAAACUGUUCUAGUCAGAGCACAUCACAGAUUUUCAUUUGAUGAAACUUUUUUUUUUUUAUGGGGGAUGUGUGUGUGCUUAUGGGCUCCCUGUAUAAAAUAUUUUUUCCUAUGGGUUGCAGUAAAAUUUUUUUGAAAAAUGCUGCCUUGGGAGUUCCCAUCGUGGCGCAGUGGUUAACGAAUCCGACUAGGAACCAUGAGGUUGCUGGUUCGGUCCCUGCCCUUGCUCAGUGGGUUAACGAUCCGGCGUUGCCGUGAGCUGUGGUAUGGGUUGCAGACGCGGCUUGGAUCUGGCAUUGCUGUGGCUUGGUGUAGGCCAGAGGCUACAGCUCCAAAUUGACCCCUAGCCUGGGAACCUCCAUAUGCC
rnacentral:lncRNA from 1 species